rnacentral:piRNA from 1 species
UGCAGGGACACAUGUAGACAGAACACU